AUUGAACGCUGGCGGCAGGCUUAACACAUGCAAGUCGAGCGGAGAUGAGGUGCUUGCACCUUAUCUUAGCGGCGGACGGGUGAGUAAUGCUUAGGAAUCUGCCUAUUAGUGGGGGACAACAUUCCGAAAGGAAUGCUAAUACCGCAUACGUCCUACGGGAGAAAGCAGGGGAUCUUCGGACCUUGCGCUAAUAGAUGAGCCUAAGUCGGAUUAGCUAGUUGGUGGGGUAAAGGUCUACCAAGGCGACGAUCUGUAGCGGGUCUGAGAGGAUGAUCCGCCACACUGGGACUGAGACACGGCCCAGGCUCCUAAGGGAGGUAGCAGUAGGGAAUAUUGGACAAUGGGGGGAACCCUGAUCCAGCCAUGCCGCGUGUGUGAAGAAGGCCUUAUGGUUGUAAAGCACUUUAAGCGAGGAGGAGGCUACUGAGACUAAUACUCUUGGAUAGUGGACGUUACUCGCAGAAUAAGCACCGGCUAACUCUGUGCCAGCCGCCGCCGUAAUAC
rnacentral:rRNA from 1 species